CCAACCAGCCCAUCUAUUGCCCCAUAUUUGUUGAAUCAUCUGUGACUACCAAUCUACUAUUUUUGUCUCCUGCAGGCAAAUUAUGUCUGCUUUCCAUUUACCCAUUAAAGAUUUCACUGAACUUUGCUUAGCUGCUUCAUUCACCUCCCGCACGUUCCAACUAAUAAUUUUUACUUUCAUUCAGAAAGAGCUUUGUGAAACCUGCCCCUAUCCUCCUUUGCCAUGCCAUCAUAAUUUAAACCACAUUUCAGCCUUCUAGCUCGAGUUCACCUUUUCUUCGAGACUUUUUUGCUGAACCACCCUCUGAUUUUUGUUAAUUCAAUUGCAGCUGCCUCUUAUGUUCCAUGAAUAAGACCAUGUCCACGAUUUCAUGCUCAAAUCCUGUUAUAUCAACCCCAAAAGCCUUGCAUGCCUUGACCAUCACAGUUUUGGUCCACCUGGAGGUUUGGAGGUUUCAAUUACCGUAGGUAGUCUUUCCCUUCUCUCUCUCUCUCUCCAGCAUACACUUUUCGAUGGUAAACCUACCAUUGCGUAAGUUAUGGAGCAGGGAAUUUCUUUUACAUCGAGUGGGAAAUUCUUUAGACUAACGAGCAGUGGGGACAGUUGGUUCAUUUUAACUGAAUAUAGCAGAAGGUUCACGAGCAGCACCAGAAUAGAUGAAAGUAAUCUCAGAUGGAUAUGUAUAUCCCUAAAGCAGGCCUCCAAGCAGUCGGGGAACAAAUGCAGAAGAUGGGGAAGGAAAAUACAAGCUUAUUCAGAUAGAGCAAUACAAAAUUUCAACAAUGAUGGACGCUUUGUGAGAAUAGAAACUAUUCUAGGGGACAAAAGGGCAACAUUAUCAUUCUGAAAGACAGAUACAACAAGGGAUGGUAUGAUAUUGCCAGAAAGAUUCUAAAAUAUUUGGGCUCUUUGGUAGAUCCAAGAUUCCAUUUAGCAGAUGAGCAAUCUAAAUCUUUCAUGGAGGCAACAAGGAUCCCUACUUGGCUAAACACAAUCAGUUCUGGAGCAGGACAUGCCAGUCACAAAGGGUUGAUGGAAAAGGGAGCACUUCCUCUCGAGAUGUCUUGUGGGAGAAUUUAAUGACCCAUUCAACACUAGUCCAAAUGCAGAUAUCAUCCAAAAAUGGUCUGUGGGCAGGUGGCAAGUUACUGCAGGACUUAAAGUCACACCCAUUAACCAUAAUCAAUUUCUUUUUGAGCUUCCAUCCAGACUGGAGGCAUGUAGGGUAAAAGCUGGUGAUUGGUUCUGGAAGGGACGAAAGCUAACUCUUGAAUGGUGGUCUCCAGUGGCUGGCUCGAAGCUAACCUAAAAGAAAUCUGAUCAUAAAUGGAUUAAGGUUUUUGGAAUUCCACUACAUGCAUAUGGUCUUCAGAAAACUUUAAAUUUAUCGGAGAUAAGUGCGGAUGCUAUGUUGGAGUUGAUGAAGACACGAAACACAAACACACAUGCUAUGGGCUCGAAUUUGUGUGAAGAAGAACAUGAAGGUAAUCUCGAGAUCUCACAGUCUUAGAGGAUCUACAUACGGUCUUUCAUCUCGCCGGAAAAGCCACUUUUCUCGAGAAAGGGAAGUCAAAGGAAGAAGUUGGCACCUCGAACCUCACAUGAAAAGACACAAAGGGACAGCUCUAAUUCAAAAAGGAGCAGCUUUAAUUCAAAAGAGGACAGCUUUACUUCAAAAAGGGACAACCUGGAUUGUCUAGUGGACAGAAGGGCAAAAGUCAAAGAAUCUAAUAAUGUUAAUGGGAGUGGGCCCAGUGCUGAAUCAACUACAAAUGGGCCUAGAAGCUGAUCAGAUUUAUUACCAAACAGGCCCAAAUGGCAAGAGGGGAAAAACUAAAGUUUUAAAUGAGGCCAAACUCUUUAAGCUUAAAACCAUUUGGCAAGUCAAAAAACCCAACCCAGCUUCUAAUAGAUUCAGUGCUCUAUCACAAACAGAAUCCGUAGAGCAAAUAUCAGGAGUGGAGCAGUCAGAUGCAGAUGAUGAAAGAAUUACCCUUGAAAGAAUCCACAGGCCAUUGCAACAAUACACCUCAAGCAGGGACUGGUUGCCUUUUCCAGCUCAGAUACAGAUUUCCCCUCGAUAGCAAUAAGAGAAGCUUUAUCACUGACUUGGUAUGAAGGUAACCCCAAUCCACAGGUUAUAGACAAACCAACUGUAGUCGAGACAUCAAAGUGGACAAAAAGCACAAUGGUUAAGGCAUGCAAAGCCUUCGGGGUCAAUGCUACAGGUUUUGAACAUGAUCUCUUAGAUUUAGUUCUAAGAAUGGAGCAAAGAAGACAAAAACAAGUUCAAAAGUUGGAGUUAAAUCAAAAGGAGUCCGGGAGUCUGAAAAAAAAAACAGAGGAGAAGGGGAGAGGAAAAGAUUAAUUUGUGGGAUCAAUUAUGACAAAAAAGAACAACAAAGUAGUAGAAGUAGGGGCAGGCAGUACACCUCACUGUCUGGAUGAAUUUGAAAGUCCUUAGUUGGAAUAUAAGGGGGCUGAAUGAGGAGGGGAAGAGAAGCACUAUCAAAUCCCUCAUUCAGAAGUGGAAAGUAGACAUUUUAUGUUUACAAGAAACCAAAAUCCAAGGCUGCAAUAGUAGACUAAUACAACAAUUAUGGGGGAAUAAAUGGGCUGAUUGGGUGGAACUUACAGCAAACGGCACAAGAGGUGGUAUUAUAGUGAUCUGGGAUAAAAGGAAAUGGGUGAAAACGUACACACAACUGGGCUGUUACUCGAUCUCGUGUAUGCUACAAAGUACACUUGAAGAGAGUUCAGAUGGUGCUUCACGGGCAUUUAUGGUCCACAUACUAAUCCGGAAAGGGAGGAGAUGUGGGAUGAACUAGCAGGGUUAAGAGGACUUUGGGAACAUAAGUGGGUCAUAGGGGGUGACUUCAAUGUAUGCAGAUUUGAAAGUUAAUGGUUAAAUUGCAAAAAGAGAUCAAGAGCCAUGGCAACAUUCUCAGACAUAAUCCAAGGCCUGGGGAUAAUUGACCUACCAUUGCACGGAGCCCAAUUCACUUGGUCCAGAGGUGAGAACAAUCAACAAGCUUCUAGAAUUGACAGAUUCAUCAUAUCCCCGGAAUGGAAUGACUCUUUCAAGGUGUGAAACAAAUUGCAUUGCCAAGGGUAAUUUCAAAUCACAAGCCCAUUUUACUGGAAAGUGGGGAUUGGGAUGCCACUGAUUCCUACUUUAAAUUUGAGAACAUGUGGCUGGAAGUUGAUGGCUUUCUACAUAAGCUAAAACACUGGUGGCAGAGCUACAAUUUCAAUGGGAGGCCUGAUUUCAUCCUUGUGCAAAAAUUGAUGAGUCUAAAGGACAUAACCACUUGGAACAAGGAGGAAUUUGGAAAACUGGAGACCAGGAAAGGAAAAAAGCACUAGAUGAGUUGAUGAUCUUGGAACAAAACACUGAAGGCAAACAAAUGAGCACUGUAGAGGCUAGUCAAAUGACAAGCCUGAGAGCUGAGAUACAACAAUUAGCCAAGAUAGAGGAGAUCUCAUGGAGGCAAAAAUUCAGGUGCCUCUGGGUCAAGGAAGGGGAUAGGUACACCAAAUACUUUCAGAAGAUUGCUAAUUCUAAUAGAAGAUCCAAUUGCAUAGACCGACUUCUGGUAGACAAUGUGGUCAUUGAAGAUAAGGAGACAAUUAAAAAAGAAAAGACAGGAGUUCUUUGAAGGAGCGUACACUGAACAAGAAGAGUGGAGGCCUAAAAUCAUGUUUGAAGGAAUUGCCUCUAUCACAGCAGAGGAAAGCAGUAACUUAGAAGCAGCUUUUGGAGAGGAGGAAGUAUUAGCAACCAUUAAAUCAAGUGCCCCUGACAAAGCCCCCGGACCUGAUGGUUUUAGUAUGGCUUUCUUUCAGAGCUCUUGGGAGUUUAUCAAGACAGAUCUAUUAGCAGCUAUGCAACACUACCAUCAACAUUGCUGGAUAGUUAAGUCUUGUAAUGCUUCAUUCAUAUUACUUAUUCCUAAGAAAAAGGGGGCAAGCAAACUUAGGGAUUACAGACCUAUCAGUCUGAUUGGAAGCAUAUACAAGAUAAUUGCAAAAGUCCUCGCAAAUAGAUUGAAGACAGUUAUGGGGAAAUUAGUCCCAAACCAACAAAAUGCCUUCAUCAAAGGGAGAAAAAUCAUUGAUGCCUCACUCAUAGCAAAUGAGGUGCUUGAUUAGCAAUUGAAACAGGGAAUGCUGGACUACUUUGCAAAUUAGAUGUUGAGAAAGCCUUUGACCAUUUGAAUUGGUCUUAUCUCAUCUAUUCUCAGGCAGAUGGGGUUUGGUGAUAGGUGGAUUAAAUGGAUUAAGUUCAACAUUUCCACAGUGAAGUAUUCAGUUCUAAUCAACAGAAGCCCAGUAGGAUUUUUCUCUGCACAGAGAGGCCUAAGGCAAGGUGAUCCUCUUUCACCUUUUCUAUUCAUCCUAGCUAUGGAAGGGUUGAGUAAGAAUAAUGAACAAAGCCAAACAACUGCAAUGGCUCAAAGGUUUUGAUAUAAGAAGGAAUAUAGCAGUUAACAUCUCACAUUUGCUUUACACAAAUGAUACAUUGAUCUUUUGUGAGGCUGACAGAGAGCAGAACAUUGAGGAGCUGGCAGACACAUUGGGUUGUAGAACUGAAAUUUUCCCAACCACUUACUUAGGCCUUCCAUUGGGGGAUAAAUACAAGGCGGAAGGCAUCUGGUGUGGAAUGAUUGAAAAGUUUGAAAAAAGGCUUGCUACACGGCAAAUGUAGUACCUCUCUAUGGGUGGAAGACUUACAUUGAUAAACAGUGUACUUGAUAGUAUCCCAACAUAUAGUAUGUCACUACAUCUCAUAUCUAGUAAUGCUUUGAAGCAACUGGACAAAACCAGGAGGAAUUUUCUAGGGGAAGGGAAUAACAAAAGCCAUAAAUUCCAUUUUGUCAAGUGGCCAAUAGUCUUGUUACCAAAAAAGUUAGGCGGUUUGGGCAUAGAGAGUUAGCAUUGCACAACAAAUGCCUACUUAUGAAUUGGUUGUGGAGAUACACUCAAGAGGAGCAUAGCCUUUGGAAGGAUGUGAUUAUUGCUAAACAUGGAGCACUAAACCACUGGUGUUCUAAUGUUUCAACAGCGCCAUAUGGAGUUGGUGUCUGGAGAAGUAUAAACAAACUAUUGGAGGAGUUCUCUCAACAUAAACACUUAAUUUGCAGGGAAUGGACAACAUAUCAGUUUCUGGAGAGACAAAUGGAUAGGCAACUCCUCCUUAAUGGUUGCUUAUCCUACCAUGCUCCAGAAAGCAAAGGAGCCUAACUCUACUAUUCAGCAAUACAGAGAAGGGAAUUCUUGGACCUUCAUCCUCAGAAAGAACAUAGAAGACUGGGAAAUUGAGGAGUUGGUCAGCCUACUAGCAGCACUUCACAAUGUUGCAAUUAACAGUGAAAUACCAGACCAGCUCAAUUGGGGAGAAAAAAGGGGUGGGAAGUUCUCAGUUAAAGCAGCCUUCAAGCUUCUAGACCCACGAAAUGCAAUUACAGACCACUGGCCUUGGAAGCUUAUAUGGAAGAUCAAAUUGCCACCUAAGAUUAGUUGCUUCAGCUGGAUUGCAUUCCAUGGAGCUUGCCUGACCCAAGACAACCUGACCAGAAGGAAAUUCAGAUGGCUACCAGAUUUAUAUGUGCAAGAAGGAAGCAGAAACAGACAACAACCUAUUUCUACAAUGUCAAAUAGCAGCAAACUUGUGGAGUAUGUUUUUAGAUCUUUUUGGCCUCAAAUGGGUCAUGCCUCAAAAUAUCAGGGAUGCUGUAAUAAGCUGGGGUUGCUGGAAAGUUGAUAGCACCAUCAAGAGAAUUUGGAAGAUGAUACCUGCAGACAUUUCUUAGAGUAUCUGGAACGAAAGGAAUAGAAGAUGCUUUGAUGGAAUAUCAACUACCUACCAAUCUUUAAAAGCUAACUGCCUCAUGUUUUUGUAUAGUUGGGUUUAUUCAUCCCCUCUAGAUUGCCCUGAUUCAUUUCUGAACCAUGUUCGCUCCCUGAUUCAAUUAACAAUGUAAAGGAGAGCUGACCUUUGCUACUAAGCUUUUGUAACUAUUAUGCAUCUACUUGAUGCCUGCAAUAAAACUAAUCACUUCAUAAAAAAAAAAAGGGUUCUGAAUUUCAAACACUCUAUUGGAUUCUUUUCCAACUCAUGGGAGAGAGAGUGUUUCACUUUGAGAAGAAAAAUUUGCUUCAGAGCCACUCAUCAGAACCGGCUCCGGUGAAGAGCGGAAUCCGCGAAGAAAAAAUUUGUGAUGGCAAUUGAAGUGUCAACUUCAUCGUCUGCAUUUGUACUGGAGUGAGAGAAAUCCCCCAGUGUGUUCUUGUUUUGUGAUACGAGCUUAGCUUCAAUAGGAGGGGGGAUAAUAAGAGGAGUUGGACUAAUGAUAUUUUUAUUGUUGACAGUUGGGGCUUUCAAAAGCCCAACAACUUUCCAAAUUCUUUUUCCUCUUUUAAUACCUUUUCUCUUUGGGCCUUUGUUAUAAUAAACCCGGUCCAAAUUUUGAACCACUAAGACCUCUGGUGUUUUAGAUUGUACCCUAGUCAUAGAGGGUAACUUUUGUAGCGAUGAAUUUGAAUUAAAGUUCAUACCCACGUGGUCAUUGACUGAUUUGACAACACGAUCUUUCUCGUGGCUCGAUGAGAAAUUGGCAAAGAUCUUCUCUUUCCCUUUUCUGGUAACAACAGCUUCUACUCCGGUAGAGAUGGUGGAGAGUACAUCUUCUAAAAGUGAAAUUACAAAUUUUAGUCUCCAAUCAACAACUCAAUUUUGGUGGGUGUAACUGUAUCUGUAUGAGUGACACAAAUCUGAGCCCAGUAAAAGCGUGUCCAAUUCUUCGUGUCCUCAUCAGUUCCGAGAAACCCCUCACAAAAAUCACCUAUCUUACGAAAGGUUUCUGAAGACCAAGCAUGCAAAUGAAUUCCAAAAGCUUUUACCCAUUUGUGCUCCAACUUCACAUGGGAGUUUCCGAUCGUCAGAGACCACCAAGCGAGUGAUAGGCGCCUACCAAUUCCAGAACCAAUCACUAGGUUUGAUGCGAGCUACUUCUUGUCUCGAAGGGAAUCAAACAAAAAUUGAUUGUGUGCUAAGGGAAUGACUUUGAGACCUGCAGUAAUUUUCCACCUAUUGAUGAACCAUUUCUGGAUCACUUCGGAGUUACGACUCUGGUUGAAGGGAUCGUUGAAGACACCAACAAGGCAUCUACUCAGAGGAUGGGAGUUAUCAACAUCGUUGAUUGAACUCGAUGUUGCCAACUCGAUAACUUUGUUACCUCGAAGUACAUUCUCAACUGAGGUGCCGAUGGAAUAAGAAUAUUGGGGAACCUCCGCUUACCCAAAAAGUUAAGAAUCUUAUUUGCAAUGUCUAUCCAACCCCAGUUAUAUCCAGCUUCUGGAAUUAUCACAGACGAUUUCUUCUGGCCUGAUUAAGCCUCGAUUCUUACAAAUCUCCCAUAAACAUUGUAAUUCUGAUACACUCUAAGAAGAUGUGCUUGUUGUUUUCGCCCCCAUCUCCUAUAAAGAUCCCCUGCACCCCUGGAAGCUUGUUUGAGAUUGUCACAGACCCACCUUAGGUUAUCUUCAUCUAUUUUGGUGUUGCUUGAGAAACACCUGUUGCAUUCUAUAAUGGAAAACCAUCUGGGAAAAUCAUCACUAAUAAUUACAACUUCAAAGGACUUAUCUUCUGAAACAAAGAAAAUCUUAUCUCCCAUAGCUUGCUGUUAUAAUGAUGAUUGUAGCUUUAUUGAUCAUCACCCCCAAAAGCAUUCAUGCAAAAAUUCUUGAUUUCCUAUGUUGAACCUAGAUGUUGGCUUCUAGAUCCGUGUACACUCACCCUCCUAGACUCCACUUGCGGGAAUAUAUGGGGUAUGUUACUGUUGUUGUUGCAGAAAGUAAUCAACCUUCAAACUUUCUGCAGGUUAGACCUGUAGUGGAAACUGAAUAUGAAAAUCUCUUACUUUCACUAUAUAUUGUUGGGGUUGCCAAUCACACAAAAGAAGAGAGUCUUGAGGAGCUGGGAUAUCUUGUAGGUGUCCUUCCAUACAUAUAUUAAGGAGUGCCUUUAGCAUCUAAAAAGCUCAGCAUUUUUUGCCACUUUCUGAAAAAAUUACUGCAAAGAUCACUUGUUGGUCUGCUAAAAUACUAUCCUAUGCUGGAAGAGUACAAUUGAUCCAAGUCACUAUUUUUUGGGGUGCAACCUUACUAGUCCCAAAGAUUUUUGACUCCUAAGAAGGUGAUGAAGAGUAUUGAACAGAUUUGUAGAACUUUCUUGUGCACUGGAAAUGUGACCAUAUCAAAGAAAGCAUUGGUUUCUUGGGAGAAUAUUUGCAAACCUUUUGCAGCUGGGGCCUGAACAUUAUAAAUAUAUGUAUGUGAAAUAGAGUUGCAAUAUUGAAACAGUUACAGAAUAUAGCAAGAAAUAAAGAAUGCUUAUGAAUCCAGUGGGUACACAACUAUUUUUCUAAGAAGGAAAGAUAAUGAAACAGUCCAAAUACCAAAGAAUGCUUCUUGGGUUGUGAGGACGAUAUUGGAAGCAAGGGAAUGGAUACUACAGGGACAAACAACACAAGGAGACUUGAGUUCAGCUUUUGAUACAACCCAAGCAGGUGAAAAUUUCUCCAUACAUAAGAUGUACACAAGAUUGAUGCCUCAAUUUCCUAGAGUUAACUGGAAGGCCAUGCUAUAUACCCCAGGAUUCAUCCAAGAUUCAAGUUCUUUGUAUGGCUAGUUGUUCAGAAGAGAUCAGCAACUGUUGACAGGCUGAUUAAGCUUGGGAUUCAAGUCCCUCCUGAUUGUGCUUAGUGUGGAUUGACAUUAGAAACAUUCAGCCAUCUAUUCUUUUAAUGCCAGGAGACAAAGGCAUUGUGGAAUAGAUUGUGUGUAUGGCUGGGUUUUGUCAAGAGCUAUUCAGGACUGGGAGACAGAGGAGAAAUGGGUAUCUAUGAUGGCAAAGAAGAAGUCUGGACUAGCUGAAGUUGUAAGCAAUGUUUUUGGUAUGCUAGUGUAUGUCAUAUGGAGAGAAAGGAACUUCAUCAGACUUCAGAAAAGGAGCAUGAACGCUGAUGAAGUGCUGAAGGAAAUAGUGAUGCAUAUGCACAUCAAGAAUCUGACCAGGGUAAAAUGGAUGCACUUCAACAACUCAAUGUUUAUCCUUAGUUUCUGAUUAGAUACAGAUAGCAAUAGAUCACUGAUCUAUAUUGGAAGUACUAUAUAGAAGGAUAUGGGCUAGUAGAAUCUGUUUGUAUAGAUGAGUGAGAAGGUUGUCCAAUAUUGCUCUGUUUGUACAGACACUUUUGGCUAGGAAUGAAAUAU